rnacentral:rRNA from 1 species
UUGAUCUCAAAUCAGGUAGGACUACCCGCUGAACUUAAGCAUAUCAAUAAGCGGAGGAAAAGAAACUAACAAGGAUUCCCCUAGUAACUGCGAGUGAAGCGGGAAGAGCUCAAAUUUAAAAUCUGGCGUGCCUCUGGUCGUCCGAGUUGUAGUCUGGAGAAGUGUUUUCCGUGUUGGACCGUGUACAAGUCUCUUGGAACAGGGCGUCAUAGAGGGUGAGAAUCCCGUCUUUGACACGGACUACCAAUGCUUUGUGAUGCGCUCUC